rnacentral:lncRNA from 1 species
AUGUGGAGGGUAGGCAGGUGGGCAUCCUCCACCCCUUCGCUCACCUACCGCCCGCGCCGACCACGCCCACAGCCUCGCCCUCGCCCCAAAACCCACUUUAAACUCCCGCCCCCUCUUAACGACGACCAAUGCCCGGCCGGGGAGCCCGCAGGAGGCUGCGGAUUGGCCGGCGCCGCGGUUGCCGAGGUGACGGGUGGGUCCGGCGGGGUCCCCGAGUGGGGCGGAGGAGAGGGCUGCGGGCGGCUUCCUCCCCGGCCCGCCCUGCUCCACGCCCCCCGGCGGCUGGAGGGGGCGGCCCCCGCGCGCCCCCCGCGGGCCUCCCGCUCGGGGCCUGCCUCCCUGCGCCUCCGUCUCCGCCCCCAGAACCUGCGGCCGCCAGCUCCUAGCGCGCUGCGCCGGCCGGCGGCGAGAUGGGCUGCGGGAACUCCACCGCCGCCAGCGCGGGCGCGGGCCGAGGGUCAUUACGUUCAUGCACCAAGGCUGUGUUUAAACAGUAAGGAGUCAUUUUGGCGUGAGGUUGAGUGGUGCUAACAGAGAUGAAUGCCGUAGAAAGAAGUAGGUACACCACUAUAAAUAUUUGGUUAAUAAGUGAUAAAGUACAUGAGCCAUAAAUAGAACUUAAAGCAAAUGGGAUUUUGCUUCUAUCUGAAUAGUUCUAGUCCAAAUAUUUUUUGCAUAAAUUAUCUAGAGUAGAGAUCUCCGUCUGGUUAAUUAUAAUCAAUAUAUAGGUAAAGGGUGAUUAAAAUGUUGCCGUGAGGGUAAUAAUAAUUUUUAUUCUGUUCCCAGUAAUUUUAUUAUUUUAUGCUUUUGCAGAACAAAGAGCUCUUUCGCAUUUUAUAUACCUAGAUAUUCUGACAGUUUUGCGGAAAGUUUUCAACAAUUACACAUUUGUUUUUACUCUGAGAAGUUGUGUGUUGGGGAGUCAUAUUCUACCUGCCCUGGUUAUAAGCUUAUCAUUAAUACCAUGUUACCUUGUUUCUAAUAUGCACAUUUUCUUCCCUUUAAAAAAAUGGAGCGCAUAUUACGGUCAUGUAUAUAUCUGAUGUAGUGUUUCUGACUUCUUUGCCCACCCCACCAUUGCAAUUAUUAAGUAGAUGGUGCCUUUAAAAUGAGGACAUAUGAAAACAGAAGAAUGGUCUGCUGGCUUCCUUUUGGAAGGUGACACCAGGCCUCUGUCUUGGUCCUGCUGAGAUGUUGGGUGGUGAACCCGGCAGGGCAGAAGCCCUGAGGGUGCGUGGAGCCUGGUGCAAUCAAGGUGAAGGGGAUGGAAUGUUCCUGGUGGCUGAUUAGAAUAAGUACUGAUUAGACAACACGUUGGCAUUUAGAAACUAAUUUCACUCACUUUAUUGUGUCUUGUCUUCUUAGCUGCCUUUAAGGGCCCCGCAUGUCCUCAUGCAUUAGAGACUGAAGCAAAGAGAUUUUGUGACUGUUAGACAAAUAUGGGAGCAAGGACUUUAUUUGGGUCUUCUGCCUUCCGAUUCCAUGUUGUUCUUUCCCUCCAUGCUGUCAUCCCUGAGAUGGAGUGGGGAUGGCUUCUCUGCACAAUGCUGUCCCUGUCAUUGUUCUAGAUGGCUCUUCAUCUCGAAAUGCUGAGGACUCACGGUCUGCAUUAUGAUCUCCGCUUUCUUCUCUUUGCGAGAAUUCCAGAAUCAAAAGUUCCUCCACCUCUGGCUCUCCUCUCCCCGAUCACAACAAAACCCAAAACAUUCCUUAUCUUUUCCCAUGAGAAUAAAAAUAAGAAAAUCUGGGUAUUAUUUUCUUUA